UACGUAGGGUGCAAGCGUUGUCCGGAAUUAUUGGGCGUAAAGGGCUCGUAGGCGGUCCAUCGCGUCGGGAGUGAAAAGCUGGGGCUCAACCCCAGUCCUGCUUCCGAUACGGGCAGACUAGAGGUAGGUAGGGGAGAAUGGAAUUCCCGGUGUAGCGGUGAAAUGCGCAGAUAUCAGGAGGAACACCGGUGGCGAAGGCGGGUCUCUGGGCCGAUACUGACGCUGAGGAGCGAAAGCGUGGGGAGCGAACAGG
rnacentral:rRNA from 1 species